rnacentral:rRNA from 1 species
UACGAGGGGGGCUAGUGUUGUUCGGAAUCACUGGGCGUAAAGGGAGCGUAGGCGGGAGCCUAAGUUGGGUGUUUAAUUCCGGGGCCCAACCCCGGGCGUGCACUCAAAACUGGGUUUCUUGAAUAGGGGAGAGGUCGGUGGAAUUGGAGGUGUAGCGGUGGAAUGCGUAGAGAUCUCCAAGAACACCCGUUGCGAAGGCGGCCGACUGGACCCAUAUUGACGCUGAGGCUCGAAAGCUAGGGGAGCAAACGGG